UAUGGCCAUAUCACGUUGAAACUCCAGUUCCCGUAAAAUCAACGAAGUUAAGCAACGUUGAUCCUGCUCAGUACCUAGAUGGGUAGCGCUCGGGAUUACCAGUUGCUGUAA